rnacentral:rRNA from 1 species
GCUAAAAAGGGCGCCUGGUGAAUGCCUUGGCACUGAGAGGCGAAGAAGGACGUGGCAGCCUGCGAAAAGCUACGGGGAGCUGGCAACAAGCAUUGAUCCGUAGAUAUCCGAAUGGGGGAACCCACGCAGUAAUGCGUAUCAUUAACUGAAUACAUAGGUUAAUGAAGCGAACCCGGGGAACUGAAACAUCUAAGUACCCGGAGGAAAGGACAUCAAAAGAGACUCCGUGAGUAGUGGUGAGCGAAAGCGGAUUAGGCCAAUGACAAAUAACACGUAACUCAAAGGAUCUGGGAAGGUCCGCCGGAGAGGGUGAUAGCCCCGUAGAGGUAAGAGUGUUAGGAGUAUACGAGUAGGGCGGGACACGAGAAAUCCUGUCUGAACAUGGGAGGACCAUCUUCCAAGCCUAAGUACUACUCAGUGACCGAUAGCGAACAAGUACCGUGAGGGAAAGGUGAAAAGAACCCCGAAGGGGGAGUGAAAUAGAUCUGAAACCGGGCGCUUACAAACAGUCGGAGCUCGACCCGCAAGGGUUAAAGAGUGACGGCGUACCUUUUGCAUAAUGGGUCAGCGAGUUAUUGUGUGCAGCGAGCUUAAGCCGAUAGGUGGAGGCGAAGCGAAAGCGAGUCUGAAUAGGGCGGAAAUAGUUGUACAUAAUAGACCCGAAACCGGGUGAUCUAGUCAUGGGCAGGUUGAAGGUGAGGUGAAACUUACUGGAGGACCGAACCCACUUCUGUUGCAAUAGGAGGGGAUGACCUGUGAUUAGGGGUGAAAGGCCAAUCAAACCCGGAGAUAGCUGGUUCUCCGCGAAAACUAUUUAGGUAGUGCGUCAUGAGUGACUGCCGGGGGUAGAGCACUGAAUAGACUAGGGGGAAGCGAUUCCUACCGAAUCUAAUCAAACUCCGAAUACCGGCAAGUUUAAUCAUGGCAGACAGACCAUGGGUGCUAAGGUCUAUGGUCGAGAGGGAAAGAGCCCUGAUCGUCGUCUAAGGUCCCGAAGUUAUAGCUAAGUGGGAAAGGAUGUGGAACGGCCAAGACAGCCAGGAGGUUGGCUUAGAAGCAGCCAUCCUUUAAAGAAAGCGUAACAGCUCACUGGUCUAGAAAAAGCUGUUCUGCGCCGAAGAUGUAACGGGUCUAAAGCUAUACACCGAAGACACGGAUUCAUGAGGAGUGGGAUCUUCAUGAGUGGUAGCGGAGCGUUCUGUAAGCCUGCGAAGGUGGUCCCGUGAGGGGCGCUGGAGGUAUCAGAAGUGAGAAUGCUGACAUAAGUAACAGAAAGAGAGGUGGAAGGCCUCUCCGCCGAAAAUCCAAGGUUUCCUACGCAAUGAUAAUCAACGUAGGGUUAGUCGGCCCCUAAGGCGAGGGCGAAGGCCGUAGUCGAUGGGAACAUGGUUAAUAUUCCAAGACCUGCUUGAAGUGACGAAGGACGUAAGUUAUUGAGGUUGCAACGGAUGACCGAGGUAGCGAAGUACUUCCAGGAAAUAGCUCAAGCGAAAAGACCGUACCGUAAACCGACACAGGUGGGUGAGUAGAGAAUACUAAGGCGUUUGAAACAACGAUGUUGAAGGAACUCGGCAAAAUGCUCUUGUAACUUCGGAAGAAGAGAGACCUGAUAUUGGGCAACCAGUAUGAGGUGGCACAAGCCAGGGGGUGGCGACUGUUUAGCAAAAACACAGGACUCUGCGAAUUCGAGAGAAGAUGUAUAGGGUCUGACGCCUGCCCGGUGCUGGAAGGUUAAGAGGAGGAGUGAGAGCUCCGAAUUGAAGCCCCAGUAAACGGCGGCCGUAACUAUAACGGUCCUAAGGUAGCGAAAUUCCUUGUCGGGUAAGUUCCGACCCGCACGAAAGGCGUAACGACUUCCCCGCUGUCUCCAACAUCGAUUCAGUGAAAUUGAAUUCCGCGUGAAAAUGCGCGGUACCCGCGGUUAGACGGAAAGACCCCGUGCACCUUCACUACAGCUUUACAGUGGUAUUAGGAGUUUAAUGUGUAGGAUAGGUGGGAGCCGAGGAAGCAUGGACGCCAGUUUAUGUGGAGGCAACCUUGAAAUACCACCCUUUGAACUUUUGAUAUCUAACUGAGGUCAGUGAAACCUGAUCCAGGACCCUGUAUGGUGGGUAGUUUGACUGGGGCGGUCGCCUCCGAAAGAGUAACGGAGGCGUGCGAAGGUGAGCUCAGGCCGGUCGGAAAUCGGCUGAUGAGUGCAAUGGCAAAAGCUCGCCUU